rnacentral:ncRNA from 1 species
CAGGUUCCGGUUCACGCCCCGGUGCGGGCGACCCGGCGACC